rnacentral:lncRNA from 1 species
CGGGUAGGGGUAAGGCUCGUCUACAUAUUACCCUCCCCAGACCCCACUUUGUGGGACUAUACUGGGUAGUUGUUGUUGUUGUUGUUGUUGUUGUUUGGAGUAUAUCUUAGAUUAUAAGACGAGCUUUGGUUCAUCUUAAAGAAAGAAAUUUAUUUUAGAAGCUUGAUUGGUAUUAGCAUUAUGGCUUUUGUGGAGUUCAGAACUGAAUAAUA